CCUCCCCACAGCCCUGCCCAGAGCUGCCUACACACACAGGGGAUGGACAAGCUCCUUUUGGGGUGGGGGUGAGGGCUUAGGGGAGAGCAGCUGGUGCUGCCACUACCCCAGUGCAACACUGGCCCCUCUGACUGUGCAGCAAGCCAAGCCUAAAAUCACCCAGCACUGCAUCUGACAGGCUCAAACCAGGUCUGUGGGGUUAGAUACAAUGGUUCAAAGGUUGGACUUGAUGAUCUUGGACGUCUUUUCCAACCUUAAUUAUUCUCUGAUUUAUUUUUUUCCAAGAUAGGAUGGAUGAAAGGGGCAGUCUGCUCUGAUCCUGGGACAGCGUGUCCUUUGGAGACCACCACAUGAAGCCAGGACAAACCACAGCAGGUUUUGCCUGUACAUCAUGGAGACAUCUUUGUCCAAAGCCAUUUUCUAGAAAGCCUUGGAAAACCAGUGCUUGCAAUGGCACCCAGAAAGCUUGCAAGGAUGAUCAUUGAGGGAUGUAUUUCCUAGAGAACAGCGGUUCUUCUGUCUCUAAAAAUAUCACAGAAUCAUAGGACAUCCUGAGCUGGAAGAGACCCCCAAGGAUCAUCAAGUUCAACUCCUGACCCUGCACAGGAAAACCCCAAAAAUCACACUGUGUGCCUGAGACCAUCAAUAUGUGCCAAAGUCUUCCAGAGCAUGGACUGCAGCAGCCAAAACCUUAAAUCUGAACAGCAGGAUUCAAGGCCAAGAGCCAGCAGUGAGAUGCUCCCAUACAACAACUGUGCAGGCGAAUACUGGAGGAUGAGAACACACUGGAGCUGGAAAAACAAAAGGCUGAAUAGAAACAUGUGCCAUUUCCAACCUACAGGCUUCUGUGAUAAAAGAAUGGAACAAAUUACAGCAGAGGUGUUACAUCCAGCACAGUACUGGAGAGCGCGUGUGAAGGUCUCCAGGGGUCAGGUUUGCUGCCACAAAGCAAGGUGCCCCCAUCCAUGAUUGCAAACACAAAGGGAGCACGAGCAACCAGAGCAGAGCAGCAACAUGGACUGAUGAAAGAGAGGGGAGAAGGAGUCCUGGGACAGACCCUUAGGGCUGCAAAUCUCUCAUCUCUCUCAUUUCCAGGAUAAAGCACUCACAGAGAGUUGAAGCAUCUGUCUCCUAACAAAUGAUGAAAUUUUAUUUCACUGCCAUCAACUUCUAAAUAACACACACUAUUUGUUACCAUCAGCUUCAGAAGCACCAUCC